AGGGAGAAGAGGCACGGUGGGUGGGGCUGCGGGGGCCCCGGGGCACCCUGCAGCCGAGCCUCACCUCUUGGGCCUGCAGGAGGUUGGCAUUCCACAGCUGGCGGAUGACCACUUCGCACUGCUGGAGUGUGGCGGGCUUGCACAGCCAUUAGAGCAGACCAGAGGCGGCCUACCGGAGGUGAUCUCUCACACCCCCUCUCGGGGCAGCACCUGCUCCAGCGUCUCAGCGCUUCUGCACGGCUGCUGUGGCUGAAGGGCCAGGCCCACCUGUGCCCGCCUCCUGGCUCUGCAGGUCCCAGCCCUCCCCCACACUCUGGUGAGGCAGCCCCAGACACCGCCAGUGCCAGAGGGAGCCAGGGCCAUGGGGCUGGGGACGGAAGAAGCAGUGGGACCUGAAUGGGAGCACGCCCUCUCUCGAGGUCCCAUCAGGGGACCCCUGACACUACGUGCCCACAUCAGCUCGCUGGAGCUGUGCCACCCCACUGGAGAAGGGCCCUCACCACCCCAUCCUCUGCGUAUCUCCCAGGAAGAGAGCCCUGGGCACACCCCAGACUGGGGCAUUCCAGGCGGGCACCACUCACCGCUCAGACCACCUCCCGAUGUCAGACCUGGUCCCAAAAGUAAGAGGGGAGGGGAGCCCAAGACGCGACCUGGUUGUUCCCAGGCUGGGCUAGGGGACAGGCAAGGUGAGUGGGCCACAGGUGAUGACAUGCCCCCAUGGUUGCUGUGGAGAUGAUAGGGAGGACCCUGGAAGGAGUGUGCCCAGAGCUUCCUGCCCCAAGGCCAAAGGGACCAGGGGUUGGGGCUGGGGCUGUGCUGGGGAAGCCUGGGGCAGCAGUCCAAGUGAAAGCUCACCAGGAUAGUGAGGCCAGGGCUGGGGAGGGGUGAACCUGGGCAGCCCCCUGCCCCCCAGCUGCUCUGUCCACUGCCCCUGCUGCACAGAACUCAGGCUUUGGGGUCCCCAAGAGUGGCACUUGCUGUGCUUGGGUGCAUGAAGUCACCCAGACCAUGGCUGGGAGCGGUCUGGCUGCCCACGCCCCCUCCCCACUGGGAUAAUUCGCGUGGGCAUAGGCCGUCUGGGGGGCCUGCUCUUGAGGGCAGUAGCUUCCCAUCAGGCACCUGUGGGCCUGUCUUACCUUUCUUCUGCGGCUUCUGAUUCAUGAUUAGCUUGUAGUGAAGAUCUGAAGACAAGCACGGGCCCUCCUCAUGGCUACUCUGAGAAAAGAAGCUUUGCUUUCCCUGCCCACUUCUCCUUGCUGAGCCCGAGAGACCCUGCUCCAUGGACCAAGCCUUUGCCUUGGCACCCUCGGGUCGGUGAUGCCUCUGGCUGCUCCCUGAGCCAGAGCCCCUGUGUGAGAGCCUCUCCAGGAACCCAUUCCUCCAUCCGUGACGUCUACAGAGCAGUCUCUGCCAUGCGGGGCCUGGGCUCCAGGGCGACAGAGGCGAGUCAGGAUGACCCAGGUGUCAGGGAUCGUUCUGGGGCCCCGGAUCUGGGUGUGCUUAGUUUG